UGGCGACCGGCGCACGGGUGAGUAACACGUAUCCAACCUGCCGAUGACUCGGGGAUAGCCUUUCGAAAGAAAGAUUAAUACCCGAUGGCAUAGUUCUUCCGCAUGGUAGAACUAUUAAAGAAUUUCGGUCAUCGACGGGGAUGCGUUCCAUUAGCUUGUUGGCGGGGUAACGGCCCACCAAGGCAUCGAUGGAUAGGGGUUCUGAGAGGAAGGUCCCCCACAUUGGAACUGAGACACGGUCCAAACUCCUACGGGAGGCAGCAG
rnacentral:rRNA from 1 species